GUCUUCAAUCUCUCACUCCCACCCGAACCCCGCUACUGCAGGAUGACGUCAGCACAGCCGGGCCAGGACUGACGGGGCCGCCGGCCAAUCAGCCUCUUCCGUGCACAGGUCCCUGCUGCGUGCCCUGUGGGAACGGUGAAGUAAAACCCUCAGUCUGAGCCUGAGAACCCCUGGCGUGUGUAGCCUAGGUCUGCGAGGAGGCCACAGGGCGGUCCGCAGGGCGGUAGCGGGGCUCUGGGACGCGAGGAGCGGUCGGACGUCCUGCACCCCUCGCGCGCGCACCUGUCGGAAUGGGCCGCCUCUUCCUGCCUACCUGCCCUGCCUCCCUCGCCCCGAAUUUCACCUUAAACCAUGAUGAACCAAGCCCAGUGGAUUCUGAAGCCUGGGACGAUGGCAGGUUCGAGAGAGAAGGGGGCAGCUGGGGGCGGGGCACACGAUUAUGUAGGCGCCCCCACCCCACCCCCACAGAAAUACAUCUGGAAAGCAUAGGCUGGGGACUGGAGGUUAUGGUCUCAUCGACGACUCAAAGAGAGAGAAAACCCUCUGCGUCCCAAGCCAAAGAGAAUAAAAUUCUCCAGUAGAGCCAA